rnacentral:rRNA from 1 species
UGGGGAAUAUUGCACAAUGGGCGCAAGCCUGAUGCAGCCAUGCCGCGUGUAUGAAGAAGGCCUUCGGGUUGUAAAGUACUUUCGGCGAGGAGGAAGGCGAUAAGGUUAAUAACCUUGUCGAUUGACGUUACUCGCAGAAGAAGCACCGGCUAACUCCGUGCCAGCAGCCGCGGUAAUACGGAGGGUGCAAGCGUUAAUCGGAAUUACUGGGCGUAAAGCGCACGCAGGCGGUCUGUCAUGUCGGAUGUGAAAUCCCCGGGCUCAACCUGGGAACUGCAUCCGAAACUGGCAGGCUAGAGUCUUGUAGAGGGGGGUAGAAUUCCAGGCGUAGCGGUGAAAUGCGUAGAGAUCUGGAGGAAUACCGGUGGCGAAGGCGGCCCCCUGGACAAAGACUGACGCUCAGGUGCGAAAGCGUGGGGAGCAAACA